CUCGGGUGGUGAAACAAAAUAUAAUUUGAUACAUUUUUUAAAAUUCUGUAAAAUUUGUAAAAUCAAUAGUAUUUUAAAAUUGGCUAACACUGCAGACUUUGACUAUUUAAUGAAAAUUAAGAACACUUUGGGAUAUUCAGUCCUCCUUUGCAAUUAUUAACAUAGCCAAGACACGGUCAGCUAUUUUAACAGUGUGCUCUUCCGCUGCCAACUUGUUUCUUUCACUCCUAACAUUUCUGUUAUUCUUCUUGUGCCGAUCUGAAACUGUGAGUAAUCCUAACCUCCCCAGUUCUCUGCCUUUGUGACCAGACCAACAGCUUUGUGUUCUGACGUGGGGUUGAUUCCAAGUUCACUAAAUUCUAUUACUUCCCUUUCUUGGCAUCUUCAUCUCUUGUGAACAGGAAGCACCUACCCAGGUCACUGCAAAAAUAAAACAGGAUGGGUGUGCAAAUCAGCCCUGGAGACAUCUCCUUCAGCUUCAGAGCAACAACAACAACAAUCUCCUCAAAGAACAGAGAAAAAGACCUGAAGAGCAUGUCAGCCAGGAGAAGAGGAACGUGCUGAGGACGUGUCGUCAUUGUGAGACACACAACACGCAAGGGUGUUUCAGGUUCUUCCUGGAUUUCACCCCCAGGACUUCCAGGUAUCUUGAUCAGUUAUGAAUUUUAAGGACGGAUAAGCUUGUGCGAAGAUCAGAUAAUCACAUAUCUGCUAUUUUAUAAGUGAAAUAAUCACUAACAAUUGUAAAAAUAAAUUUUGUUGAGACAACCCCUGCCUGACAUGUACUCUGUCUGACCGCCCAUGCGGACUGUAUUACCAGCAUUGAAAUAAACAUUUUUAACAGUCAGCCAAACACUGUGAAAUCUUCCUAUCACUUAGUUUUCUCAUUUUCUAGGGCAAACUUUUCAAUACCCAAGCUGAAGCAAGAGAAGUAGAACUGUACCGAAGUGAAUUUCCAACGUUAUGCAGCAGAAAUG
rnacentral:lncRNA from 1 species